rnacentral:rRNA from 1 species
GUGUCAGCAGCCGCGGUAAGACAGAGGGGGCAAGCGUUGUCCGGACUGACUGGGCGUAAAGCGCGCGCAGGCGGUCAGAGGCGUCGGUGCUCAAAGUCCACCGCUUAACGGUGGGAGGCGUGCCGAUACGCUCUGACUGGAGGGCGGGCGAGGGUGGUGGAAUUGCCGGUGUAGUGGUGAAAUGCGUAGAGAUCGGCAGGAACACCAGUGGCGAAGGCGGCCACCUAGCCCGCACCUGACGCUGAGGCGCGACAGCGUGGGGAGCGAACUGGAUUAGAUACCCUCGUAGUCC